rnacentral:rRNA from 1 species
CCUACGGGUGGCUGCAGUGGGGAAUAUUGCACAAUGGGCGCAAGCCUGAUGCAGCCAUGCCGCGUGUGUGAAGAAGGCCUUCGGGUUGUAAAGCACUUUCAGCGGGGAGGAAGGCGGUGAGGUUAAUAACCUCAUCGAUUGACGUUACCCGCAGAAGAAGCACCGGCUAACUCCGUGCCUGCAGCCGCGGCAAUACGGAGGGUGCAAGCGUUAAUCGGAAUUACUGGGCGUAAAGCGCACGCAGGCGGUCUGUCAAGUCGGAUGUGAAAUCCCCGGGCUCAACCUGGGAACUGCAUUCGAAACUGGCAGGCUAGAGUCUUGUAGAGGGGGGUAGAAUUCCAGGUGUAGCGGUGAAAUGCGUAGAGAUCUGGAGGAAUACCGGUGGCGAAGGCGGCCCCCUGGACAAAGACUGACGCUCAGGUGCGAAAGCGUGGGGAGCAAACAGGAUUAGAUACCCCGGUAGUC